rnacentral:rRNA from 1 species
UACGUAGGGGGGCGAGCGUUGUCCGAAGUUACUGGGCGUAAAGAGCGCGUAGGCGGUCUUUUAAGUCUGGUGUGAAAGGUUCAGGGCUCACCCGAACAGUGCACUGGAUACUGGGAGACUUGAGUGCGGGAGAGGAGAGUGGAAUUCCUGGUGUAGCGGUGAAAUGCGUAGAUAUCAGGAGGAACACCCGUGGCGAAGGCGGCUCUCGUGGCCUGCAACUGACGCUGAGGCGCGAAAGCGUGGGGAGCGAACGGG